rnacentral:tRNA from 1 species
UAAUUGAAGCCAAAAAGAGGCAUAUUACUGUUAAUGAUAUCAUUGAAUAUAAAUUCCAAUUAAG